AGCGAGCGGCGGAUGGGUGAGUAACACGUGGGGAACCUGCCCCUAAGUCUGGGAUACCAUUUGGAAACAGGUGCUAAUACCGGAUAAUAAAGCAGAUCGCAUGAUCAGCUUUUGAAAGGCGGCGUAAGCUGUCGCUAAGGGAUGGCCCCGCGGUGCAUUAGCUAGUUGGUAAGGUAACGGCUUACCAAGGCGACGAUGCAUAGCCGAGUUGAGAGACUGAUCGGCCACAUUGGGACUGAGACACGGCCCAAACUCCUACGGGAGGCAGCAGUAGGGAAUCUUCCACAAUGGACGCAAGUCUGAUGGAGCAACGCCGCGUGAGUGAAGAAGGUUUUCGGAUCGUAAAGCUCUGUUGUUGGUGAAGAAGGAUAGAGGUAGUAACUGGCCUUUAUUUGACGGUAAUCAACCAGAAAGUCACGGCUAACUACGUGCCAGCAGCCGCGGUAAUACGUAGGUGGCAAGCGUUGUCCGGAUUUAUUGGGCGUAAAGCGAGCGCAGGCGGAAAAAUAAGUCUAAUGUGAAAGCCCUCGGCUUAACCGAGGAACUGCAUCGGAAACUGUUUUUCUUGAGUGCAGAAGAGGAGAGUGGAACUCCAUGUGUAGCGGUGGAAUGCGUAGAUAUAUGGAAGAACACCAGUGGCGAAGGCGGCUCUCUGGUCUGCAACUGACGCUGAGGCUCGAAAGCAUGGGUAGCGAACAGGAUUAGAUACCCUGGUAGUCCAUGCCGUAAACGAUGAGUGCUAAGUGUUGGGAGGUUUCCGCCUCUCAGUGCUGCAGCUAACGCAUUAAGCACUCCGCCUGGGGAGUACGACCGCAAGGUUGAAA
rnacentral:rRNA from 1 species